rnacentral:rRNA from 1 species
CAGUAGCCGCGGUAAUACGUAGGGUGCGAGCGUUGUCCGGAAUUAUUGGGCGUAAAGAGCUUGUAGGUGGUUUGUCGCGUCUGCUGUGAAAAUCCGAGGCUCAACCUCGGACUUGCAGUGGGUACGGGCAGACUAGAGUGUGGUAGGGGAGACUGGAAUUCCUGGUGUAGCGGUGGAAUGCGCAGAUAUCAGGAGGAACACCGAUGGCGAAGGCAGGUCUCUGGGCCAUUACUGACACUGAGAAGCGAAAGCAUGGGGAGCGAACAGGAUUAGAUACCCGAGUAGUCCCUGUCUCUUAUAC